rnacentral:rRNA from 1 species
UGCAGUCGAACGAUGAAGCCCAGCUUGCUGGGUGGAUUAGUGGCGAACGGGUGAGUAACACGUGAGUAACCUGCCCUUAACUCUGGGAUAAGCCUGGGAAACUGGGUCUAAUACCGGAUAGGAGCGUCCACCGCAUGGUGGGUGUUGGAAAGAUUUAUCGGUUUUGGAUGGACUCGCGGCCUAUCAGCUUGUUGGUGAGGUAAUGGCUCACCAAGGCGACGACGGGUAGCCGGCCUGAGAGGGUGACCGGCCACACUGGGACUGAGACACGGCCCAGACUCCUACGGGAGGCAGCAGUGGGGAAUAUUGCACAAUGGGCGAAAGCCUGAUGCAGCGACGCCGCGUGAGGGAUGACGGCCUUCGGGUUGUAAACCUCUUUCAGUAGGGAAGAAGCGAAAGUGACGGUACCUGCAGAAGAAGCACCGGCUAACUACGUGCCAGCAGCCGCGGUAAUACGUAGGGUGCGAGCGUUAUCCGGAAUUAUUGGGCGUAAAGAGCUCGUAGGCGGUUUGUCGCGUCUGUCGUGAAAGUCCGGGGCUUAACCCCGGAUCUGCGGUGGGUACGGGCAGACUAGAGUGCAGUAGGGGAGACUGGAAUUCCUGGUGUAGCGGUGGAAUGCG